rnacentral:rRNA from 1 species
GUAGGUGGCAAGCGUUGUCCGGAAUUAUUGGGCGUAAAGCGCGCGCAGGCGGUUCUUUAAGUCUGAUGUGAAAGCCCACGGCUCAACCGUGGAGGGUCAUUGGAAACUGGAGAACUUGAGUACAGAAGAGGAAAGCGGAAUUCCACGUGUAGCGGUGAAAUGCGUAGAGAUGUGGAGGAACACCAGUGGCGAAGGCGGCUUUCUGGUCUGUAACUGACGCUGAGGCGCGAAAGCGUGGGGAGCAAACAGGACUAGAUACCCUGGUAGUCCACGCCGUAAACGAUGAGUGCUAAGUGUUAGGGGGUUUCCGCCCCCUUAGUGCUGCAGCUAACGCAUUAAGCACUCCGCCUGGGAGUACGGCCGCAAGGCUG